UUGCUGCAGGGAUUUUCUCGUGGGACCCACUUCUCCUAUAGCGCCGAUGGCGCGCGGAGUACACGCUUCGUCCCGACUCUUCGCCUAAACCCUAACCCUAACCCUAACCCUAAAAAAUGGCCCUUGUCGGAUUGUGUACGGCCUCCUCUCCUCCGAGGGUCUCUUGGGCAGCUUUUAGAAUCGACUACCCGAGAGCUGUUAACAGCAAGCCAUGUAGAAAGAGAAUUUCAGUAAUUCGAGCCGAAGUGAAUUUCGUGAGCGGAGACGAAGCGAAGAGGCUCGUCGACGAGGAGGGAUACACCGUGUUGGACGUCCGGGACAAAACUCAGUUCGAUCGCGCUCACAUCAAGUCGUGCCACCACGUGCCCCUCUUCAUCGAGAACAAUGAUAACGAUUUAGGGACGAUAGUGAAGCGGACGGUGCACAACAACUUUGCGGGGUUGUUCUUCGGCCUUUCGUUCACCAAACUGAAUCCCGAUUUCGUCAAAUCGGUGAAGGAGAAGUUCUCUCCCGAUAGUAAACUGUUAGUCGUGUGCCAGGAAGGAUUGAGGUCCACUGCAGCUGCGAAUAGGCUCGACAGAGAAGGUUUCGAAAACCUAGCUUGCAUAACAUCGGGCCUUCAAUCGCUCAAACCGGGUACGUUUGAUUCGGAAGGUGCUACCGAGCUCCAAAACGCGGGAAAGGCCGGUCUAGUGACCGUCCAGGGGAAAAUUUCUGCGGUACUCGGGACCGUAUUGAUAUGUGCGUUUCUUUUUAUCACAUUUUUCCCGGAACAGGCCGAAAAGAUACUUCAAAUGAGCCCCGCGAGAUAGCAGUCGGAAUUUUUUCCGCUUACAUGUUGUUGUGUCAUUCAACUUUGUGUUUCGAGGUUUCGCAUUGUUAGCUAUUCUUGGAGGCCACAGAUUCUUUCUCAGGAUAGAGACAAUAUUACUAGAGAAAGAUGAAAGAUCAAUGGAGAUUAGGUUUUCUUGUAUAGCAUUUGUGAGAUGGGAGUGAAAUUAUGCCACACUUUUUUUUUGACCUUUGUUCAGCUUAAUAGUGUGUAUUAUUUUUCUUUUUUUUUUAAAAAAAUAUUAUUUUCAA